AUUGAACGCUGGCGGCAGGCCUAACACAUGCAAGUCGAACGAGUGGCGGACGGGUGAGUAAUGUCUGGGAAACUGCCUGAUGGAGGGGGAUAACUACUGGAAACGGUAGCUAAUACCGCAACCCAUCGGCUGUGCCCAGAUGGGAUUAGCUUGUUGGUGGGGUAACGGCUCACCAAGGCAACGUUCCCUAGCUGGUCUGAGAGGAGGACCAGCCACACUGGAACUGAGACACGGUCCAGACUCCUACGGGAGGCAGCAGUGGGGAAUAUUGCACAAUGGGCGCAAGCCGGAUGCAGCCAUGCCGCGUGUGUGAAGAAGGCCUUCGGGUUGUAAAGUACUUUCAGCGGGGAGGCGUUACCCACAGAAGAAGCACCGGCUAACUCCGUGCCAGCAGCCGCGGUAAUAC
rnacentral:rRNA from 1 species